UACAGAGGAGCCAAGCGUUGUCCGGAUUGACUGGGCGUAAAGCGCACGCAGGCGGUUGCGCGCGUGGGGUGUGAAAUCUGGCCGCUUAACGGCCAGGCGCCAUCCCAUACGGCGCGACUGGAGUGAUGCAGAGGUCGAUGGAAUUGCCGGUGUAGUGGUGAAAUGCGUAGAGAUCGGCAGGAACACCCAGGGGGAAACCAGUCGACUGGGCAUCUACUGACGCUGAGGUGCGAGAGCGUGAGGAGCGAACCGG
rnacentral:rRNA from 1 species